rfam:Triticum aestivum genome assembly, contig: Triticum_aestivum_CS42_TGACv1_scaffold_221033_3B
UACGUACUCCCUCCGUUCGGAAUUACUUGUCGCAGAAAUGAAUGUAUAUAAACGUAUUUUAGUUCUAGAUACAUCCAUUUCCUAGACAAGUAAUUCCGAACCGAGGGAGUAGAAG